rnacentral:rRNA from 1 species
UGAAUGAGCAACUGCCGCGUGAGUGAUGAACGGCUUUCGGGUCGUAAAACUCUGUUGUUAGGGAAGAACAUGUGCUAGUUGAAUAAGCUGGCCCCUUGUCGGUACCUGACCACAAAGCCACGGCUAACUACGUGCCAGCAGCCGCGGUAAU